GACGAACGCUGGCGGCGUGCCUAAUACAUGCAAGUCGAGCGGAGUUAUUCCUUCGGGGAUAACUUAGCGGCGGACGGGUGAGUAACACGUAGGUAACCUGCCUGUAAGACUGGGAUAACUAUCGGAAACGAUAGCUAAGACCGGAUAAGAGUUUUUCUCGCAUGAGGAGAAUUGGAAAAGCGGAGCAAUCUGCUACUUACAGAUGGACCUGCGGCGCAUUAGCUAGUUGGUGAGGUAAUGGCUCACCAAGGCGACGAUGCGUAGCCGACCUGAGAGGGUGAACGGCCACACUGGGACUGAGACACGGCCCAGACUCCUACGGGUGGCAG
rnacentral:rRNA from 1 species